UACGUAGGUGGCAAGCGUUGUCCGGAUUUAUUGGGCGUAAAGCGCGCGCAGGCGGUCCUUUAAGUCUGAUGUGAAAUCUUGCGGCUCAACCGCAAGCGGUCAUUGGAAACUGGGGGGACUUGAGUACAGAAGAGGAAAGCGGAAUUCCACGUGUAGCGGUGAAAUGCGUAGAGAUGUGGAGGAACACCAGUGGCGAAGGCGGCUUUCUGGUCUGUAACUGACGCUGAGGCGCGAAAAGCGUGGGGAGCAAACAGG
rnacentral:rRNA from 1 species